UAUUAUUAUUAAGUAACCUAUGAAAUUAAAUUAUUUAUUGUUGCAAUUACAGUAAAAUAAUUUAUAAAGAAACUGACGUAUGUAAAUAAAUAAUUUAGUCCAAAGUUCGAUUAUUUUAAAUAGUAAUUACUCAUAGUUAUUUAAAUAAUUAAUUAAUUAAAUAAAUAAAAUAAAAUUAUUUAUAUAAAAGUUUAAUUAUUUUUCUAUUUGUUGUUAACUAUUUAAACAAUUAAAUGUCGUGUCAAAUAAAAGGUAUUGCUUUAAUAAAUGAUGUGAGUGAGGUUAAAAAAUUGUUAUUUGAAAAUUCUAUUUUGAAAUUUGAUCAUGUUCCAAAAAAUGAAUUACCUCUACAGGAUGCUGUGAUAUCAUUAUCAUCAGCUGGAGAUGUCUUAGGUCUAGCAUUACAUAAAAAUAUAAUUAUUCUGACUUCUAAAUGGGAUCUACAAGAACCAUCGGAGAAUAAAAACAAAUUUCAUAUAUCAUGGACCGGAAGUUUAGUACCCGAGGCACCGGAAUAUAUAACCUCGAUUCUGUGUCUUCCGCUGAUAUCUCUAGGAAAAUCAAACAGCGGCCCGGACUGGACCUGUACUCUGGUAGGAUUCAGCUCCGGGUACCUGCGCUGUUAUACCGAAACUGGGUGUCUUCUUCUGGAAGAACAAUUACACAACGAACCGAUUCUCAAUUUAAAAUGUCAGUCGCUUACUUCUCCGCGGCAUACUGGAGAUACUGGACUUUCGGAAGAGCUCCACAUAAUUUAUGAAUCAGUAGUCUGUAUUUUGCCUGGCUUUCCAUUUUUCUCAACCCUCCGCGCGUGUCGGAACUAUCUGGCACGUGUCCAAGCGAACUACAGUAGUGACAAGCCGCCAUCUUGUUUAACAUUCAAAAAGCUCGGCUUCAAAGACCAAGAUGUGACCAAUGACUGCGAAGUAAUUGGGACCACUUCAGUCAAUACCUUUGAUCACUUGAUGACGGCUUCAAUUUGUGGAGGUUUUCAUGCUUCAUAUCGUUCCAGCGCGCCGCAACAUAACCUAGUUAUGGCUACCGGCAAGCGUCCUUAUGUCGGAUUUCAUUUUGCUUUAGAAGGUGGCGCUGCUCCAGUUUUAUCAGAUGUAGCUCUCGCGAUGGCCAGUUCGCUAGCAAACGCGAUCGGUAAAAUCGGUACCGCCGUUCCCUGGUUCCGUGGUUCCAAGCCCAGCCUUGAGAAACCCAAAGGUCCUGUUCAGGAAGCCGCAGAAGCGAUGACUUGUCGCUUCGGGCUCAGUGACGUCAUGCGCGAAGGCGAUUCCUUGAUAGUAAGUCCCAAUAAGUCGCUGUCAGUGAUAACUGACGCAAUGGGUAGAGUCACUCUGAUAAAUAAUCGCCGGGGAUUGGCUCUAAGAAUGUGGAAGGGUUACCGAGAUGCCCAGUGUGGGUGGAUAGAAGUCGCUGAAGACAAGAGAUCUAAAGUCACCAGCAAAAGACGCACUGCCUUGUUCCUGGUGAUUUAUGCUCCCAAGAAGGGAGUAAUUGACAUCUGGGGAAUUCAGACCGGAGGCAAGAUCACGACUUUCUCGGCCAGUAAAAACGGAAGGCUUCUGUACAUAAACUACGGCCUGCUGGGUCUCAAUGACGUGGCGCCCACUUCUCCCAACCGCCCAGCGUAUUCUUGUGUCUUUCUAGACCCACUGGGUGGUCUCAAAGAAAUUCUGGUCCCGUUCCACUUUGCACUGAGCAACACAAACGGCAAGCGCGCACGCGAUAUUCAUUUGUUUAAGAAACUAAAGACUUUCAUACGCGAGCAGGAUUAUGAUGAGGACAAACUAGUAAGUGAGGUUAGCAAUAUUUGUAAAGAUUUAAAAACCAACGAAAUAAGGCAACAGGUUCUAGAAACUCUGAUGGCCAGCAAACAUGUAAUUUCAGACGUUUUGUUAAGUGUAACGACCAUUUUUAAUGACGCACUAGUCGAUCAGGAAAUGGAAGCCACUACAAAACCUUUAGUGCAACUUUGCGCCCAAAUAAAACACGUGGUUACUUUCUACAAGUAUUUAAAAUCUAGGAAACCAUCAGCCGAACAAGUUGCGCCCAAUGAAUCGGAAUGGGAUCUGGCGGCCAUUUUGCUGUCAUCUCCCCGUGAAAUCACAAGAAUUCUUAAACUUGUCCAGAGUUUGGAAGACACCGAGUCUAGGGCGCGCGUGACAUUCAAAGGAGGAUUCGUAGAUUUUAUUUCGUCAUUUGAUUUCGGGUGCAACCAAGUGACGCUGGCUAAGGACGUGACCGAGGAUAAGAAGGAAUUGAUAUCGGAACUGAUCUAUCAAGGCUGGAUGGAUUCGAAUGAAUCAAUAGAGGCCUGGAAAGCCGCCGCAGAAGACAGUGGCAUCCAAGGCAAGACUUUUAUGGAACUGGCAUUAGUCUACUGGCUCCACAAGCGACCCGUAGAAGUAAAGACUCUGAAGACUCAGCUCAAGCGAUUCACUGACUUGUUACACGCAAUUUGCAACCGGGAUGCUGAGGAAAUCUGCGUGGGCUACAACCAAGUAUCUCCCUGGUGGAAAGACACCCGACAAAUCCUAACUGAGUCUGUGAAUCCGCUCCAAGCAUUGACAGCAGCUUUGGCUUGCCGAAGUGUCGCGAUCACAUUGUCAGCGACAAGAGACCAGAGUCAAGCCAGCGAGAAGGAAGCUCUGGAUGUAAAGAAUGGUAACGUCAAAGACCAGAAACCAGAUGACCCGCAUGAUUGGGAAAACGUCAGCAAAGAUGUCUGUCAGUUCACGCUGCUAAUAGGGAACCUAGAAGACAUCGCGAUCCUCAAUCGAACCCUCCAGCGACCGCGGAUUGAUGACUCGACCAAUUUCCUGGCUCUGCCGUUCGAGAAACUGGAAGUUUCACUAGGAAAUGUGAUUGCUGAAGGUCAAGGUUCCGUUUCCGAGAUAGUUGCCAAGUGGCUAUCGACAUCUGGAGUCGAUCCUUCGCGUCUCAUUGAUACUAGUGACGUAGAAUUUGACUCGGGAUUCCAAGUAGACGCUGCCGAUACACAAGAAGCUAAAGAGCAACCUCUUACAAAAGAAGAAGCCGUCAGUUUGAUAAACCAGUCCGUGGAAAUCGGAAAUGAAGCGCGAGCUGACUCGUCAUCAUUGGCCCAGAUUUUGGACAAAAUAGCGCUGCUUAAACACCAUUUUCCUUAUAGUCUGACCAGUAGCGUUCUUCUGGCUAACUUAACAUGGCAGUACGUAAUGGCCUGGAGUCGCGACGUCAGCAGACUCGAGAUUCUUGAAGCUGCUCUAUCAGUACUCAAACAAAUACCCAUGAAAUCAAUGCGCCAGGGUGUCUGCUGCCUGCUUUGGACGGUUCACAUCAAGAAGCGGAUGGAAGCUGCCGCUAAAUUGAUGAAUAAGUUGGGAAAACUUCCGAAGGAACGAUUGUGCGCUCAAGAAGUCGGACUGUCCGACAUUCAAACCACGGUCUUUCUUCAACACUGCGUCAGCUUCUUGGACAUUUUUCUGGACGCGGAAGUGAUGGAAGAGGACAAGAACGCGGUCUUCAAGGCUGAGGAAAUGUGGGAAGGACAUGCGGGCCCUCAAGCUUUUGCUGCUCUGGCCAUUACUCAGGUUCCUGGGAGCUACGACCUAAUUCUGCUGCACCUGCAGUUGGGUUUUGUCUUGCACAUGAUCGCGUUCUUUGGGAUUAAGUCUGUCAAGCCGAUGACUAAUUUGUUUGAAUCAGUUACUAGCAGAUACUUUUUCCAAGACAUCACCGAUAAGUUCAUUUUCACUUGGUACCACGAUGACAAGAGAGACAGCAGAAGGUUAGAUUUUCUCUACCGGAUUAUUACGGCAUCCAUGGAGUCAAUUCAUCAAGAGACAACGGAAGAUGGCGUUGAUUCAAAACAAGCUGUCCAGUGGAUGAGCAAGUGCACAGUUUUAGCUUCCAUGUGGAAAAUAGACUGCGAUAAACUGAGGAUUCAUCAAAUUUGUCAGCUCUACGUCAAUGGAUUCGAUCGUCUUGCAGAAGAAGUCAUGACUUCAAUUAAUGACACGGAAACUCUCGCAGUAAAUCUGAUACCCAUAGCAGGAUUGCGUAUGAUGGCAUUUUUAUCUAAAUCACCAGAUUUAUUAGAAGAGGUGUCAAGAAUAAGUCCCGCGUUGACUCAAUAUUUGGAAAAUUUGAAUCUACCAGGGAUCAUUAUUACAAGUUGUUCUAAUGAGAAUAAUAUCGAAUUAAUUAAAAAAAUAUCACAAUAUUUACCGGAAACACACAACGAUUAUCACUACGCGCAAUUAAUGCUUGAUGCGACGUUUAUUUAUCAGAGCGGGUGAUUUUGAUUCAUAAAUUUAAAUAUUUUUAUGAUUGGGGAUGACUGUGAUAAUCAUGUUUUGUUUUAAAAUUUAUAUUCGAUUGUGCAAGUAGUUUGGAUGGUGUCUGACUCCUUUUGCUAGUAUAGUGUCUGGCUGAAGCCCACAACACUGUUUUACACCUGUUUUACUGACGAGUCCGUUAACGUACUUGGGACGAAACUACACAGAUUAUGGCAAACUGGCGUGUAUCUUAAGGUUGGUGGUUGACUUAAGAGUCAGUACAUUAAAUAAUACGAAAAUUAUGUCAUUUGUUGCAGUAUAGUACGGAAUAUUGAAAAAUAUUAAAAAGAAAUUAAUAUAUCAUGUCUAUGACCUUAUUACAAAAACCUGAAUAUUGAUGCUUAUUUUAUACUUAAUUUAAGCAAAUACAUCGUUAAUCCGCUGACAAUUGCAUGAUGACCAACCUGGUUUCUCACAAUAAGGGUUUUGCUAAUUUAAACAUGGGAAGGAUAUGCACAGGAGGUUAAUAAAUAAAAUAAUUUUUUAACAAUGAAAUCUUUAAUAAAUGUUAUAUAUAUACAGGGUGCAAUAAUUUUUUUGGUUUGUGAAAUAUCACUUUUUUUCAUGGAUUUAAUGCGAAUACAUUCAUCAAUUUAACAUUUUUUCGACUUGACAUUACUAUUUUCAAUUAAUAAUUGCGAUAAACAAUAACAGUAUAAUAUUAAUCAAAUAAAUUUUUUACCCAAGCCAUUGGCUAGUGUAGCAAACAUGUAACAUACUCAUGCUUACUAUAAACUUUAGUCGUAAUUAUUUUAUAAACUAUUGAUCCUACGUUUUAAUUUAUUACUUAAAAACUUUUAUAUAAUGUUCUUAUUUAUAAAAAAACUUAAUUAAUAAAUUAAAAUUUCCUUGUUUAAUAAUUUAAAAGAUACAAUUUAAAUUUACCGCAAAAAAUCUAAUCACUUUAUAUUUAAUAAAAUUUCCAUAGCAAAUAUAUCUGUAAAAUUUGAACAUAUGAAAAAAUUAAUAGAAUACUUAUUUAUGUAGAAUUAAAUUAUCUACAAAAAAGUAUUCUAUUAAAUUUAAUGUAUCUUCAAUAGUUUGAAAGAUAUCAGUAAUUUAAAGGUCUGUUGCUAGCACAAGCCUUAGGCUAGCGCGGCAACAGUACACUGCCAUCUAGCGGAUUCCCGCCAUUUCAA